GCAGAUCAAUAAGCGGAAGGAAAAAGAAACCAACAGGGAUUGCCUCAGUAACGGCGAGUGAAGCGGCAAUAGCUCAAAUUUGAAAUCUGGCUCUUUCAGGGUCCGAGUUGUAAUUUGCAGAGGGCGCUUUGGUGUCGGCAGCGGCCUAAGUUCCUUGGAACAGGUCAUCAUAGAGGGUGAGAAUCCCGUAUGUGGCUGAUUGUCUUCACCGUGUAAAGCCCCUUCGACGAGUCGAGUUGUUUGGGAAUGCAGCUCUAAAUGGGAGGUAAAUUUCUUCUAAAGCUAAAUAUUGGCCAGAGACCGAUAGCGCACAAGUAGAGUGAUCGAAAGAUGAAAAGCACUUUGGAAAGAGAGUCAAAAAGCACGUGAAAUUGUUGAAAGGGAAGCGCUUGCAGCCAGACGUGCCUGUAGUUGCUCAUCUGGGGUUUUCCCCAGUGCACUCUUCUAUAGGCAGGCCAGCAUCAGUCCGAGCGGUUGGAGAAAGACCUGUGUCAUGUAGCUGUUUUCGGGCAGUGUUAUAGGGCAGGUGGAAUGCAACCAGCUUGGACUGAGGUCCGCGCAUCUGCUAGGAUGCUGGCGUAAUGGCUGUAAGCGGCCCGUCUUGAAACACGGACCAAGGAGUCUAACAUCUAUGCGAGUGUUUGGGUGUCAAGCCCGAGCGCGUAAUGAAAGUGAACGGAGGUGGGAACCUUAGGGUGCACCAUCGACCGAUCCUGAUGUCUUCGGAUGGAUUUGAGUAAGAGCAUAGCUGUUGGGACCCGAAAGAUGGUGAACUAUGCCUGAAUAGGGUGAAGCCAGAGGAAACUCUGGUGGAGGCUCGCAGCGGUUCUGACGUGCAAAUCGAUCGUCAAAUUUGGGCAUAGGGGCGAAAGACUAAUCGAACUAUCUAGUAGCUGGAUCCCUGCCGAAG
rnacentral:rRNA from 1 species